rnacentral:rRNA from 1 species
UACGUAGGGUGCGAGCGUUGUCCGGAAUUAUUGGGCGUAAAGAGCUCGUAGGCGGUGUGUCACGUCGGCCGUGAAAACCUGCAGCUUAACUGUGGGCGUGCGGUCGAUACGGGCAUCACUGGAGUUCGGCAGGGGAGACUGGAAUUCCUGGUGUAGCGGUGAAAUGCGCAGAUAUCAGGAGGAACACCGGUGGCGAAGGCGGGCCACUGGGCCGUCAUACUGACGCUGAGGACGAAAGCGUGGGGAGCAAACAGG